GACGAACGCUGGCGGCGUGCUUAACACAUGCAAGUCGAACGGAAAGGCCCUGCUUUUGUGGGGUGCUCGAGUGGCGAACGGGUGAGUAACACGUGAGUAACCUGCCCUUGACUUUGGGAUAACUUCAGGAAACUGGGGCUAAUACCGGAUAGGAGCUCCUGCUGCAUGGUGGGGGUUGGAAAGUUUCGGCGGUUGGGGAUGGACUCGCGGCUUAUCAGCUUGUUGGUGGGGUAGUGGCUUACCAAGGCUUUGACGGGUAGCCGGCCUGAGAGGGUGACCGGCAACAUGGGAACUGAGAUACGGCCCAGACUCCUACGGGAGGCAGCAGUGGGGAAUAUUGCACAAGGGGCGGAAGCUGGAUGCAGCACCGCCGCGUGGGGGAUGACGGCCUUCGGGUUGUAACCGGCUUUCGCCUGUGACGAAGCGUGGGUGACGGUAAUGGGUAAAGAAGCACCGGCUAACUACGU
rnacentral:rRNA from 1 species